rnacentral:rRNA from 1 species
CCAAUCCCAUAAAUCUGUUCUCAGUUCGGAUCGCAGUCUGCAACUCGACUGCGUGAAGCUGGAAUCGCUAGUAAUCGCGGAUCAGCAUGCCGCGGUGAAUACGUUCCCGGGCCUUGUACACACCGCCCGUCACACCACGAGAGUUUGCAACACCCGAAGUCGGUGAGGUAACCUUUAUGGAGCCAGCCGCCGAAGGUGGAA